AUGGAUGGAUCUGGGUUGAUGAUGGAUCCAACACCACGGAUACUAGCGGAUCGAAGAUGGUUCGCUUGGAUGAACCGCCGCCAAUCCUCAUCAACGAUGCAUCCGCUGGAAGAUGAGGACCUCCUCCAAGAGAUCCUCCUCCGUCUCCCUCCUCAGCCAUCCUCCCUCCCCCGUGCCUCCCUUGUCUGCACACGCUGGCACCGCAUCCUCUCUGACCCCAAGUUCCCCCACCGCUUUCGCAAGCACCACCAGAAACCUCCUCUGCUCGGCUUCUUUUUGGUUGUGCCCUUGGGCAACCGCACCUUUACUCCCAUCCUGGAUAGGCCUGACCGCAUCCCAGCAACGCGAUUUGCUCUUCCACAGGGCCACGACCUCCCCCAAGACCAAUGGCACUUCAUGGGAUGCCGCCACGGCCUCACUGUCCUAAUCAACGCGUGGCAACGCCAGAUUGUCAUGUGGAAUCCUCUCACUGGACAACUGCGGCGUGUGACAUUUCCACAGUCGAUCAGGUACAAACAUGAGAUAUUUUGUCAUGCUACGGUGCUCUGCGCUGACCCCGAAGAUGGGCAUGUGCACGGCGAUUGCUUCUUGAGCCCUUUUAAAUUGGUUAUGGUCAGUGUCAGAGACAGGGAAACAUGUGCUUGUGUUUAUGACUCAACAUCUGGUGUAUGGGGCAAUAUUUUAUCGAUUGUGACUAUGAGUACAAAUAUUUUCAUAAGGCACAACAUCCUGGUCGAAAAUGCAAUUUACUUUCAUGGAGGUGAGAUCCUUGCCUUUGAUCUGGAAAAGCAGAGUCUUGGUGUGAUUGACAUGCCAAGUGAUGUGGAUCUUCGUGACUUCGGGACUUCUCAGCUCUUACGGAUGGAAGAUGGUGGACUUGGACUCGUUGUUUUGUCAUUUUUAACCAUUCAAUUAUGGCAGAGAAAGUCAGAUUGUGGAGUUGUCAGAUGGGUGUUGCUACAGAAAACCAUUGAAUUGGAGGAUCAUCUCGUUCCACGUAGAAUGGGCCAUGAUUGCAUAAUUGUAAUGGUACUGAUAGCGGGGUAUGAUGAGGAGAAAAUUUUGAUUGUACUAUCUACGACGGGUGGCAACUUCAUGCUCCAGGUUGGGUCAAUGAAGACCAGAAAUAUUUGUGAAGGAAAUCUCAUAAGUGAUGAGACCUUUUAUCCCUACACAAAUUUCUAUACUACAGUCUGA
rnacentral:rRNA from 1 species